AAGAAUCAUUGGGAAGGGAAGAAA
rnacentral:miRNA from 1 species